GAUGAAGAACGUAGCGAAAUGCGAUAAGUAGUGUGAAUUGCAGAAUUCAGUGAAUCAUCGAAUCUUUGAACGCACAUUGCGCCCCUUGGUAUUCCGGGGGGCAUAUCUGUUCGAGCGUCAUUACAACCCUCAAGCUCAGCUUGGUGUUGGGCCCCGCCGCCCCGGCGGGCCCUAAAGUCAGUGGCGGUGCCGUCCGGCUCCGAGCGUAGUAAUUCUUCUCGCUCUGGAGGUCCGGUCGUGUGCUCGCCAGCAACCCCCAAUUUUUUUCAGGUUGACCUCGGAUCAGGUAGGGAUACCCGCUGAACUUAAGCAUAUCAAUAAGCGGAGGA
rnacentral:misc_RNA from 1 species